UACGUAGGGUGCAGGCGUUAAUCGGAAUUACUGGGCGUAAAGCGUGUGUAGGCGGUCUUUUAAGUCAGAUGUGAAAUCCCCGGGCUUAACCUGGGAACUGCGUUUGAAACUGGAAGGCUAGAGUGUGGCAGAGGGGGGUGGAAUUCCACGUGUAGCAGUGAAAUGCGUAGAGAUGUGGAGGAACACCGAUGGCGAAGGCAGCCCCCUGGGCUAACACUGACGCUCAUGCACGAAAGCGUGGGGAGCAAACAGG
rnacentral:rRNA from 1 species